CCUAGUAACGGCGAGUGAAGCGGCAAUAGCUCAAAUUUGAAAUCUGGCUCUUUUAGGGUCCGAGUUGUAAUUUGCAGAGGGCGCUUUGGGGUUGGCAGCGGUCCAAGUUCUUUGGAACAGGACGUCACAGAGGGUGAGAAUCCCGUACGUGGGCGCUAUCCUUCGCCGUGUAAAGCCCCUUCGACGAGUCGAGUUGUUUGGGAAUGCAGCUCUAAAUGGGAGGUAAAUUUCUUCUAAAGCUAAAUACUGGCCACAGACCGAUAGCGCACAAGUAGAGUGAUCGAAAGAUGAAAAGCACUUUGGAAAGAGAGUCAAAUACCACGUGAAAUUGUUGAAAGGGAAACGCUUGCACCCAGACUUGCCUGUAGUUGCUUAUCUGGACUUUUGCCCGGUGCACUCUUCUGCGGGCAGGCCAGCAUCAGUUUGGGCGGUUGGAUAAAGGUCUCUGUCAUGUACCUCUCUUCGGGGAGGCCUUAUAGGGGAGACGACAUGCAACUAGCCUGGACUGAGGUCCGCGCAUCUGCUAGGAUGCUGGCGUAAUGGCUGUAAGCGGCCCGUCUUGAAACACGGACCAAGGAGUCUAACAUCUAUGCGAGUGUUUGGGUGUCAAGCCCAGACGCGUAAUGAAAGUGAACGGGAGGUGGGAACCCUCUUGGGUGCACCAUCGACCGAUCCUGAUGUCUUCGGAAGGAUUUGAGUAAGAGCAUGGCUGUUGGGACCCGAAAGAUGGUGAACUAUGCUUGAAUAGGGUGAAGCCAGAGGAAACUCUGGUGGAGGCUCGCAGCGGUUCUGACG
rnacentral:rRNA from 1 species